rnacentral:lncRNA from 1 species
GUGUCUAAUGCAUCAUUGUUGGCUAUAGGUGUAAUACUGUACUUGGAACUCUUAGUUUUAUUCAUACUGCCUAAUUGGAACUUUGGCUGAUUAAUACACAUUAAUACUCAUUUCUCCUUCCUCCUUAGGCUUUGCGAACCAUGAUUUCCCUCUUCAAUGAUAUAGACUGUUUUGUUAUAAAUAUUAUUUAAUUUCAUUGUAAAACCAUAAAAUAUUUGUCUUUCUGUGACUGGUUUAUUUCCUGGAUUCUUUUUCUUCCAGGCUAGAAUUUUAAUCACCUUCUGUGAGACAUACACCUUGCCCUUAUUGUUCCCCAGUGAUGUCAACAGUUAUUACUGUUUUGCUAAUCUGUUUUUUGUUACAAAAAUUUUCUACUGAGGACCUUUAAAAGCUAGAAGAAAAUUAUUUUUUUUGUUAUAGAAAUGAAUGCGUUUGUUUGAUUUUUAUUUCUUUUUAUAGCCUGACUGCAGGCCUCUUCUCUCCUCUCCUCCUAGUUCCACCCUCAUACCCUUCCCCCACCCUCUCAUCCUCUUAUCCACAGAGGAGAGCACCCACCUCCCGUAGGUACCAACACCAAGUCACAGAUAGACUAGGCACAUCCUCUCCCACUGUGAUCAGGCAAGGCAGCUAUUAUUUUUCUGAUUCUUAAGAUUCAUCUGUGUGCUGCAUAUUGCAAAUUUUCCUACUUUUCAAAGCUAAACAGCAUUCUAUUGUAAGUAUGCACUAUAUUUUCAUCUUUUAGCCCUUGGUGAAUGAUACAAAUAAUUCACAGCUAAAUGUUUAAUAAUCAACCAGCUAUAAAUAAUUACUAUAGAUGAUUAUCAAUAUUUGAAAAUUAAAAAUUAAAUACAAAAAUUAUUUUUUAUUAAAAUCUAAUAGUAAGAACUGCUCACAUUCAAAUUCAUUUCUGCCUAUCCCAUCUGACUACUUUCCUAUGCUCUUUAUUCUAUUCCACUCACAGGAACACAUUUUUUGCAUUAUUCAUGAGCAAAAUCUAGUACCAAUUUGGCUUCUUUGAUUUUUUUCCCCCUUUGGAAUAUAUCCCUUUGUUUACUUUAAGAGAUUUAUCUAGAGCUCACUCUUAAGGUCAUAGAUUGCUCAAUGCUAUUAAAUGUCUCUUGGUUUGCAAGCCCAUAAAACAAAGCAAAGCACAACAGAACAAAAGCCUUCCAGGAAAUGUAAGCUGAGUGAUCAUUUUGGAAACAGAUUUUCACACAGUCAUGGAGGAUCUGUGAUUACAAUGGUCUCACACUUGCUCUGCUAGUCCUGUCUUAAAAUUCUAAUAAUUGUUGAACAGAGUCCUACCCUUUCAUUGGCCCAGAAACUUGUAGAAGAAGUUCCACUGUGUGGCAUCUUUCACAAAAGUAGAGAAAACUCACUUCUCCAGGGGUCACAUUCCUAAAUUAAAAGCUCACGUGAAACUCAUGUUCCCAUAAAUGUGCUAUAGAUCAAGCUAUACAUAUAAUGUAUAGCUCUACUAAUAUAGACAUCCUAAGCAGC